AGCACAAGGUAGUGUGUGUGCGUGUACGUGUGUUUGCGUGUGGUUUGCUAAUACAGAUUGAGCAAAAUCUUAAAUCUUGAAGGAUUCGUCUCUGACAUUUUAUUAUAAAACUUUAUACAUGCAGCCCAAUGGAAAGAAUUUUAUUGGGAUGGCUUGUUAACUUACUACCCACAUUCUGCCAUUAAUAUUUUACUCUAUUUGUUUUUUUAUCUCUCUCUCUCUCUCUCUAUCCAUCCAUCCAUCCCUCCCUCUAUUUUCUAUGAGUUUGAUGCACUUCAAAGUAAACUGCAGACCUCGCUCUACCCCUCCAAUACUUCAUAACUCACGUAUUUAAGUAAAGUUUAGUAUUUGCUUACACUUCUUUUGAUGGAAGAUUUAUAUGCUGUGAGACGCUGAGGUCUUUGGCACACAUUUGCUGAGUUUUGUUAAUACAGAUAUCUAUGUAAUCCAGACCCCCCUCAAGACAUGAAAUAUUACCAUCACCUCAGAAAGUUCCCUCAUACCCCUGUUCAGUCAAUGCCUGCCUCCUCUCUGGCACCAGCGGAGACAACAACUAUUCAUAUUUUUCCACCCGUGUGCUCUGUGUGAGGCUUCUUCCCCUCAGUGUAAUUUUUUUUUUGUCUUUUUAGGGCUGUACCUGCAGCAUAUGGAGGUUACCAAGCUAGGGGUCGAAUCUGAGCUGCAGUCUAUGCCACAGCCAUAGCAAUGCCAGAUCCAAGCCGUGUCUGCCACCUGCGCCACAGCUCAUGGCAAUGACAGAUCCUUAACCCACUGAGUGAGGCCAGGGAUAGAACCCACAUCCUCAUGGAUACUAGCUGGGUUCAUUACCCCUGUGCCACAAUGGAACUCCCAGUGUAAUGUUUUUGAGAGUCGUCCAAUGGUUGCACAUACCAGUAGCUUGCUCCUUUUUAUAGCUGAGUGGUAUUUCCUUGUAUGAAUAGGCUAUAUUUUGUUUACCCAUUUUCCCACAGAUGGGCUUUUCUCAGUUUUAGGAUUUCAUGAAUAGAGCUGUUCUGAAUAUCCUUGUCUAGGUCUCUUGGUGAAUAUGUUUUUGUUGCUCUUGGGUAAAUGCCUGGGAGAAGCAUAGCUGGGUCACAGGGUGGAUGUAUGUUUAGUCUUAUGAAGAACUGUCAGAACUUAUUUCAAAGUGGUUGCUCCGUUUUAGAGUUUUGCCAAGAACGCAUGAAAAUUCUGGUCACUCCUUUUCCUUGCUGAUGUUUGGGGUUGUCUGUCUUUUUUUUUUUUCUUUCUUUUUUACAGCCACACCUGCAGCAUAUGGAAGUUCCCAGACUAGGGGUCACCGGAUCCUUAACCACUGAGUGAGGCCAGGGAUGGAACCUGCUUCCUCAUGGACACUAUAUUGGGUUCUUAACCUGCUGAGCCACAACAGGAACUCCAUGAAGUUUUUAUAUGUAGCCAUUCAUUCUGGUGGGUGCCUAGGGAGAACAGUGACGUCGAUAGCAAUGGUGAUAGUUAUGUUGGAAGAUCGUGCUAUAGCACAAUUUACAGUUGAUUUCCCUUAGAGUUCACUUGGAGACUUGUCAUUUA
rnacentral:lncRNA from 1 species